rnacentral:rRNA from 1 species
UACGGGGGGGGCAAGCGUUGUUCGGAAUUACUGGGCGUAAAGCGCGCGUAGGCGGCUCUUCAAGUCGAGUGUGAAAGCUCCAGGCUUAACCUGGGAAUUGCGCUCGAUACUGUUGAGCUAGAGUGUGGAAGGGGCUACUGGAAUUCCGUGUGUAGCGGUGAAACGCGUAGAUAUACGGAGGAACACCAGCGGCGAAGGCGGGUAGCUGGGCCAACACUGACACUGAGGGACGAAAGCUAGGGGAGCGAACAGG